CGGCAGGUCUCACACGGCCAGCUCCUACUGAACCCUCCCAGGGCCGGAAGGCAGCAAGAGUAGGUGGUCGUAGCGGCGCGAUGUGAGUAGCCUGCCUUCU
rnacentral:SRP_RNA from 1 species